AGGGAGGAAGGCCAGGUAUUUCCUGAACGUCAUGGAACACGAGGCCCAGCAACCAAAUUAUACACCGGGUAAUUAUAGCUUCCAGCCUCAUGUCAGGAGUCCCCUGCUCAACAGCGUGCUCCUGGUGAUACUGCCACCCGUAACGGGUACUGGCUUUGCUAACAUCCUGACGAGACGUCGGGGAGAGACGGGAAGUGGCAGGUUGGGCAAGAUAGAGGAGGAAAGGACUCUACCUCAUGGCUUGUCCAGAAGAGGGCAGGGCCACCCCUGCAGCCAGGCCUCCCGGGCCCUGGAGGUAGGAGGGGGACGAUGGCCUCUAAGAGCACUCUGAGACCAGGAGCCUGUUCUCUCGGGCCUGAAGGCUUCGCUUCCACUGUUCUACGCUGCCGCCCUGGCCUGGCCACCUCCCCUCCACUGUGUGGCUGGCUUUUCUCUGCCUUCUGCUGCCUGAUGGGAUCUCCCACUCACCUCCACGAGGAUCUGAGAGGAAAGGGUGCUGAGGAGAGGAGCGUGGAGUGGGCAGGCUCUUGAUGCCAAGCCAAGAAUCUGCAUGGCUCAUUUGAAACUUCGCAGUGCCCUUUAUCUCUUGUUCUCUUUUAUGUAUAAGCUCGUCUUUCUCCCAUACAGUUGUAAACCCCAAAGGGUAGGGACUGUAUUCGGUUCCUUAUUUAUAUCCUGUAAGACAGUGACUCUCAAACUCAUCAGAAUCACCUGGGGAGUUUUAAAAACUUGAUUCCUCCAGAAACCAUAAAGACCAAAGAUUUAAAAAUAUCACCAUAUUAAAACAGAAUGAAGCAAAAUCCUUCUGUAAAGCUAAACAAACAAACAAACUCAUGAAUCAGUCAGAAGAAAUUAUAAACAAGGGGAAAACAGUAUUUGGAAUAUAGAUGGAAGACACACUAAUUUCUUUAAUUUGCAACAAAUGUCUAUAAAUAAGAAAUAUACAAACAACUCAAUAAAUGCUGGGCCAGGAAUCUGAACUGGCAGAACAUGGAAAAGAAAUACCAGUGACCAAGAAACAUAUGAAGAGCUGCUCAUCCUUCCUCAGAAAUAAAGAGACGCAAAUCAGAACAAUGCCAGACCACUUUUCAUGAAUCUGAUUAGCAAAAAUUAUAAAGUUUCAUGAUGCCCAUUGCUGAUGAGAGUAUGGAAGCAGAUGCCAGUGAAUGCAAACUUGGUGGAUUUUGGCACCUGUGUGACAAGGUGGGGCGGUGGUUCUCACACCUGCAUGAGCUUCUGAAUCACAUGAUGAACUUUUAAAAACAUAGAUUCUCUGCGCCCCCAUCCCAUACUGCCAUAAGGCACCCGCGUGUAACUAAGGGCACAAUUUGUGAAGUUCGAAAUGGUAAUAGAGACCAGACUAGUAAAUUUCAACUAAAGGAAUUUUGUCAACAUACAUCAACAUUUUUAAAACAUGAGUAACCUUUGACCCAGCAAUUCUACUGAUGGGAGCUGAUUCUGAAAUUUCCCACAGAAGAGUAUCAACGUCGGCAAGAAUGGAUGCCCACAGCAGCAUUAUUUGUAUAGCAAACAACCUCAAUGUCCAUCAAUAGGAACCUGGAUAAAUAAACUGUGGCACACUCUUAGAUCUUUUAAAGAGAUUUAGUAGGAACUCCAUUUGCUGAUAUAGAGCAGUCUCUGAGUUAUGUUGUGCAAUGAAAAAAUCAAGCAGCAGAGCAGUAUAAAUGGUGUAAUCCAUUUUCCACAUAACUUUUAAAAUGACACACCAUAUACUUUGGUAAAUGCACAAAUUCUUUUUCAAUGGAAAAUCUACAAGAAGCUGAUAACAGUGGCAACUUUGAGGGAAGGAUGAGAAGAGAGGUUCUUACCUUUCAUUCAGUACUGCUUGAUUUUCCUACUUCCUACUUUGUGCAUUGAUUAGUUUUAGUGGAGAACUUCAGUAAGUGUCAUCUGAAAGGUGGAGUUAUGGGACAAUUUUGGUUUCUCCUUUAGAGUUUUCUGUAAAGGAUAUUCAAUAAUUGAAGAUUCUCAGGCCAUAUACCAGAUACACCAAGUUUGGGUGGAGAUGCUGGCAUGGGACUCUAGAAAUCAGCUUGUCGUGUGAUUCUGCUCAUCAGUCAGGUUUGAGACUCACUGCAGAAGAUUCUGGAAGAAAAAUGCUCUCUUCUCUAGCUCAGGGGUUAUGAGGAUGAGAGGGUGGGGUGGCUGCAGCCCUUUUGUUUCCAUGAAAGGAGAACCUGAAUGACCUUGUGCAACCUAAGGUCAAAGAAAUGCAUGGCUGGCAAGUAAACCACAGAGAGGAACUUGUCCGCUGGUACAUCAGUAGGCCACAGAAUCAUGCCUUUCCCGAAGAAGGACGUCCUGUGUCUAGACUUUUCAGUUAUGAAGCCAAUACGUCCUCUUUGUUGUUUAAUGCAGCUUGAGUUAGGUCUUUUGUCACAUGCAAUAUUAAGAAUCCUAACUGAUAGACCUCCACUGAGACAAGCUGAGUAUGUCUUUAUCUCUUGCAGACUGAAAUUGCCUAAUUUAUAAAGUAUUUCAUGAUGUUUGCAAGAUAAACCCUUGUCUGCUGCCUUGGGCUACAUCUGAUGAUUGCCUGCAAUAUUUCUGCCUCUAGAAAUGAACUGUCAAACCAAGAAGUAUGUCCUUGGAAUGCAUCCUCCACUUUAGCAAAAGAAUUAUGUGUUUUGUUUGCUCUUCAUCAUGUAACUCUUGAAUAAAUUUGGAUGCAACAGAUUAAGGGCAUAACCAGGAAAUAUUUCUUGUGAUAUAACUGAUAUCUGGGUUUGUUCACUUAAUCAUUCAUUUGACAAACAUGUGAUGAGGGCUCACCAUGAGCCGGAUACCUUGCUAGGCAUUGGGUGGGUAUACAAUGGAGAACAAAGCAGACAUGUUCUCUGCCCUCAUAGAGGUUGUAAGCUAAUGGGAGAGACAGAUAUUAAACCAAUAACCAAUAAUCACACAAACAAGAAAUUUAUGCAUUUAGAUAACUGCAUGAAAUGAAAGUCCUGAGUCCUAUUAGAAAGUGUAACAGGGAUUUCUAACCUCUAUGAAGAGACACAGGAGAGCUUGACUCAACUUGAGAGACUGAAAAGGACCGUGUAGCCAGCGAAGUGCAUGAGGGGCAGUUCUGCAGGAAAAAGGGCUGGAGAGACAGGCAGGGGCAGAACACAGAUGCCUUGCAUCCCUGUUAAGGAUUUUGUAUUUUAUCCCAAGUGAGAUGAACAACACUGAAGGCAGUGACAUGGAGCAGGAGAGUGACAUAAUCUAGAUUCUGUUUUUAAAAUUAUAUCUUUGUCUAUUGUGUAGCAAAUGGAUCAGAGAGGCCAAUAGUAGAAACAGCGAGACCAGUUAGUGGGUGUUGCAGAAAUCCAGGUGAGAGUUUCUGGGGCUGUUUGGAUUCAGGUGAUGGUGUAGAGUGAAGAGAGUGGAAGAAAGUGGACAUAUUCUUUUAGGCAGAAUCUGGAAGGCAAGGGGAAGGAUUGGUUAUGUGUAUGUUGGCAGGCAGGAGGGAGUGAGGAAGCUGUCCAGGAGAACCACUAGCUUACUGACUUGGGCCAUUUGACUGACUGGGGAGGGACAAUGGGACCUGGGAGUUUUUUUUUGUUUGUUUGUUUUGUUUUGUUUUGUUUUGUUUUAGAUGGAGUCUCGCUCUGUCACCCAGGCUGGAGUGCUGCGGUGCGAUCUCGGCUCACUGCAAGCUCCGCCUCCUUGGUUCACGG
rnacentral:lncRNA from 10 species